rnacentral:other from 1 species
AAAAUCCUGAGGUGCGCGUUUAGGUUAUAUAAUUUAUCCAACACUUUAAUUCACGGGAAACCGAGUUCCCAUGCUGAUGUCAGGCCAUUUUGGAUGGAAGGCAGAGGGCGUGGGACAGGACAACCAUCUUUAUCUAGGGAUAAGGUUGUGAAUUAGUGACCUGACGGCACAUCGGGAUUUUU